UAUAUACUCCCUCCGUCCGGAAAUACUUGUCCUAGAAAUGCAUAAAAUUGAUGUAUCUAUAACUAAAAUAAGUCUAGAUACAACCAUUUCGAGGACAAGUAUUUCCGGACGGAGGAAGUACAUG
rfam:Triticum urartu cultivar G1812 contig572141, whole genome shotgun sequence.